GUGUGGGGAAGCUGAGAGCCAGAGCCACGCUCAGAGGAAUCCUAAGAGACUGACAGAAACACAUGAACCAGAAUCCAGCUGUGUGUCCUUUAGGAGCGACAGGUCAAAGGGUGCAUUGAUUGACUUCAAAUCUUCAGGACCUGCAUCCUCAGAGAGGAUUCCUAGGAGACUGACACAUCAACCAGAACCAG